rnacentral:rRNA from 1 species
UGCCAGCCGCCGCGGUAAUACGGAGGGGGUUAGCGUUGUUCGGAAUUACUGGGCGUAAAGCGUACGUAGGCGGAUUAUUAAGUGAGGGGUGAAAUCCCAGGGCUCAACCCUGGAACUGCCCUCAAUACUACCAGUCUCGAGUUCGGGAGAGGUGAGUGGAAUUCCUAGUGUAGAGGUGAAAUUCGUAGAUAUUAGGAAGAACACCAGUGGCGAAGGCGGCUCACUGGCCCGAUACUGACGCUGAGGUGCGAAAGCGUGGGGAGCAAACAGGAUUAGAUA